rnacentral:lncRNA from 1 species
CAGCUAAAGAAACCGGCUCAGAGAAUGUUAUUUGAUUGGACCGUGUUGCAUCUCUGGACAGUGCAGCUGAGAUCAGACUUUGUGUGUAACUCCACUAGCCUACCAGGGUGCCUCUCAUAAAGCUACCCUUCUUCGGCUGGCAACACACAGGACCUGGCGGGGAGGUCGCUCUUACCAGUCCCCACUCUGACGAGAAGACUGCCCAGCUCCAGGCACCGUAGGGCCCCAGUGACGUAGCCGAACACCCACGCCUCUGACGUCGCCAGAGGCCCACCUCUAUGGUGUCGGCGAAGGCGCGCCAUUGUGACGUCACGGAAGGCGCGCUCUUGUGACGCCACGGAAGGCGCGCUCUUGCGGCGUCACGGAAGGCGCGCUCUUGUGAGGUCGCAGGGGACCGCCACUCACGCGGAGCCAAUCGGAACUCGCGGCGGGGCUGCUGGGUCUUCCAGGAGCGCGCUUGAGCGGACGCUGCCUACCGGUGGCCGGGCGGGAUGUAACCCGCUGCUGAGCUGGCAGCUCUGUGUCGCUAGGCUUCGGCCCGGCCGCCGCCGCACAUAAGCUGCGAGGAGGAGCUUUACGACUUCCCGGUCUUCGGGGCCGGGCGCAGCAAGGGCCAGACUCUGCGCUAGCAGGCGCUGCGCGCCAACCGGCCGGCACCUGUCGCAGAAGGUGCAACCGAUCGCACUGUCGCGCCGAAGCUCCUCAAUGGCCAGCGCCAGCUGCAGCCCCGGCCGCCCACUCGCCUCACCUGAGCCUGGGAGCUUGAAAAAUCACAUUUGAGAAGAGGAUUGGAUCCUAGCCAUAACAUAAAUAUAAGGGUGGAACCAAAGUUUUAAUCAAAGAAGGUGGUGUUCAGUUGCUGCUUACAAUAGUUGAUACCCCAGGAUUUGGAGAUGCAGUGGAUAACAGUAAUUGCUGGCAGCCUGUUAUCAAUUACAUUGAUAUUAAAUUUGAGGACUACCUAAAUGCAGAAUCGCGAGUGAACAGAUGUCAGAUGCCUGGUAACAGGGUGCAGUGUUGUUUAUACUUCAUUGCUCCUUCAGGACAUGGACCAUUACAUAACUGAAGACUCCCACCUUCAGGCAGGAUUGGGUAGUACGUGUUUGUAACUACCUGGCAUUGCCUUUUGUUGAGGUUAGAUCUUGGGACAGCCCACAUACCUAGACAAACUUAGGCUUUCCAGCUUGCACUGGACCAGGGUGGAAAGGAAGGGUAGAUGUCUACCCAAAUGGAAUAUUGAGUAUCAGAGACUUCAAAUGAUAACUUUUGUUUGUUUGGAGAAAAUCUUGAGGACGUGAUCACUGUACAAAAGCAUGGCAAAAUGAGGAAACCACUGACAGGUGAAGAAUUUGCACAAUGGAAAACCACCUUGACCAUCUCAUGACUUUAUACAGGAAUCGGAGGUAAGUGUUCCUUUAAAGUGAUUUUGUCAUGAAAGAGUCAUCUGAAAUGACUCUCGUGAUGGAGGAAAGGAAAGUAAUGAAAUCAACAUUCAUGGUUAUUUAAAAUGCCUUAAAAGCUAAGCAUAAUAUACAUAGUAACUCCUUUUCCUAGUAUAAAAAUAGUGCCAGAAACUAUAUUUGUUCAAAUAUAUUGAAAAGGUAUAAGAAUACAAAUAGAUAUUAACAGUGGCUAGUGAUGCCUCAUAAGGUUUUCUUAAACUGUAAUAUAAAUUUAUAUUUUCAACUAUUUACAUUGCUUUCAACAACAUUCAUUAAGACAUGUUUACACAGGCUUUUAGUAAGUAUAUGGAAUGGUAAAGUGAGCUUUAAUACUUUCUUCUUCACUCUCUGUAGUAGAGCAGAAGGGGUCCAAAACCAUGCACAAUUUAACAGUCCAGAAGAACUGUGUAAUCUUUACCUGGCUAGCACAUGGAAAAAAUAAACUAUAUACAAGAAUACAAAACUCCUAAAGUGUUCUUCAACUAUCAGCAGGUUAAGUGAUUCAUACUUGCAAAAAGACAGGAUGUUUGUUUACUGGUAGAUUCUUAGUAAGUUUCAGGUAAAGAAGGUGCAUAAAACAUAUGUUAUUGAUGAAAAUGGAAAUGAUGCAGUAUACCCCAUGUUCUCACAUUAAAUUGGCAGUAUCAGAAGCUAAGUCUCUUCUCUAGCACCUCCUUCAGGGACCGUGAGCUCCUUGGGGUCACUGCUCUGUCUCCACAGCAGAGCACGGUACCUAACAUGUGGCAGGACUCAAUAAAAGGUGGGUCAGUGUAUUUCUGAUACAAAACAAUUAAAUUGUGCCACCUUAUUUUGACUACAGUUGUUCAUAAGAGAGGAUAACGAUGACAUUUUGUAUCCUCUCAUAUUAAAUCAAUCUUGUAAACAAAAGACAAUUGCUUGUGAUGGCCUGUUAAGUUUUAGGAGUACAAUCUGGUGAAAAACACAGAAAAAAAUUGUAGAUCAAAUUGGAACAGGUCUAAUAUUUAUUUGCUAUGCUGAAAAUAAAGGCACUUCACUGCUAGGCAAGAAUAUAUCUGUGACUGAACAGUUUUCUCCAAGAAUCCAAUAUUUCCAGUAUAUUUUCAUAUACUUUCUUAUCUCUAAUACUCCUAUUAAAGGAAACUAUUAUUCAAAAUUAAGAGACAGUGGUGACAACAUCAUCAUCCUGGGUUUGUACCUUGAAGCAAUAUACUCAAUGAGCUCUAAAUCUCACAUUCACUAGUGAUCUGCAAGUGAAGCUGAAUAAAUAUAUUCUCUUUGUUCAGUCAUGGAAACUCAACAUUAGAAAUGACAUGUGGGAAUAGAUCACCUUCUCUCUAGACUAAUAUCCCAUUUCUGACAGUGGUCUCCAUGGCCCAUUGGGGCUUAUAAAGUAGCUGCCUUCUGUGACAUUCUGCUUGAAGACAAAGGCUUUGCCCAAACAUAACUCCUUUUAAAAAAGCACAACUUGUUUAGGCACACAGAGGUUAAGUGACUUACACAAAUCCACCCAGGAUUGUGAUUGGCACGGUCUAAUCUACUGAAAAAUAUAAGGCCAGGCAAUUAUAUAGAUAUCUUUUAACAAGUUAGUAAAAUAGUGGGGACUUUUCUGGCUAAAAAUUGUAAUUAAAUGGUAUGUUACUCUGUUAUAACUAAACAAACAAAAAAUCUAGAACAAGAACUUCUUGCUAGUUAUGGGUAAUAUAAAUACAGAGUAAGGUGAAGGAGGACUGUAUGUAUAUUUUUCCAACUUGAGAAGAUACUAGAAAGGAAAUUAAAAAUUAUUUGAACCAAUUAACCAGCCCUAAAGAAGUACUCUGCUUUGUAUGAACUAAAAUAUCCAACAAAGAAAUAAAAUAGGCAUUGCCCAGCUUCCUUUAAUGUCUCAACUAGUAAAGUAAAAUAAACAAUAUUCAAAGGCAGACCAAACCAUUUCUAAUCUAAAUAUAUCUUCUUGCUUAUUAAAAUGACACACAUACAAAGCCUCUAAACACGAUCUACCAUGUCUUUAAAAAAUUUCUCAGUGACACAUACUAGAGGGGACCAAACAAACUACUAAAGCAUAAGUACAUAUUUUAGCAUAACUGCUAAAUCACAAUGUAAUAAAAAGGUUUAUUAAAGAUUGCUAUUCUUUAUGCAAUUUUUCUAUACUAAGGAUUUAUGUAUGCAUGCAUAAGUAUACACCUGUAUGUAUAUAUAACUAUUAUUUUAGUGAUAGUCUGUGUAUUUUACACACCAGUGCCACAAAGGGGCAACCUUACAAAUUUUAUCUGUAUGGCAAAAAAAAUAAAAUAUCCUGAAAAUACAAGUAUACAAUACAUAUAGCAUUAAACAGUUGGUAACUUCCUAGAUUAACCUUUACCAAAUACAAAAUAAUGGCAAUACAAUGUGUUUUGCUUCUAUUUUUUGUUUUUUUACCAGAAUGAUAAAAAUAAAACUGCAUUAUGUCAAGAUAUUUGUACACACUCAGAAUUUUAAAAACUUAAGGAACAUACUGAAUUUUAGGCAAAAUUUAGGGGAAUCGGGACAUAGAUGGAAAACACAUUUUGGCGAAAGGUCCUUGAGAAUGCUGGAUUACCAUGUCCCUUAGAAAUUUUCUAUCCAAAUUAGUGAUAGAAACUCAGAUCAAAUAUCUUUUUUGUGGGUUGGAGGUAGAAGUUAACAAAUCAAGCAAAUCUCUCCUUCUACUCUCCCCAAAUCCAAACAUUCCUGCAUAUUUGAAACAAAUUUUCCUUUCCUAGACCAGUUGCUUAAUUCAUUAUCUACUUCUCCAAUAUUGAGUAAAUGUGUCUUUAGGGGCACACAUGUAGAAUAUUAAUCCACUUAAAUGGGCUCAAAUUCUAAGAAAAUAUUAACUAUACUAAAUGUUAUGGGAAGAAAAUACAUUGAAUGUGAGUUAAGGGCCAGUGUUUAGCAUUCACAUCCAGGAUUCUCUGGAUCUCAGUUGACUUGUCCUAUACAUCAAAAUAUGGCAAUUUUUCAAUCACAAUACUGCUAAAUGUUAUUCAGGCAUAAAGUUUCUUACCCACUGUUCCCUCAAAUUCAUUUUUGACCCUAGUAUUGGCAAUAGCCCUUUGCUAUUUAUAUAAUUAAAACUUUUCUUUAAAUUUCAAUUGACAGGAAAAAGAGUCAUUUUGUACUCUCUUAUCUAUAACCAUGUCUCACUUCAAGUCAAUGCUACAAUUGUCACUUUUAUUUUGAAAAGGAAGCUCAGAAGGAAAAAAACUCUUAGAGAGAUCUUCUAACAGAACAUUUUUCUUCACUGAUAGACAUCCAAGGCCAUUCCAUUUCUAAAUCACACUUAUCCCUCAAUCAAGUCAGUGACUGGAUCAUCUCCUAAGGUUUCACCUGCUUUGCAUCAGGGCAGGGUUCCACUCCCAUUGCCCAGGCUGGAGUGCAGUGGCGUGAUCUUGGCUCACUGCAACCCCCUCCUCCCCUAUUCAAGCAAUUCUUCUGCCUCAGUCUUCUAAGUGGCUGGGACUACAAGCGCGUGCCACCACACCCGCGCUUAUAAUAGAAAAUAAUUUUUCUGUUUUUUUGUAGGGAUGGGGUUUCACCAUGUUGGCCAGGCUGGCCUCGAACUCCUGAGCUCAAGUGAUCAACCUGCCUCUGCCUCCCAAAGUGCUGGGAUUACAGGUGUAAGCCACCAUGCCCGGCCUCUGAUUUUUCUAUAGUGAGAACAUAACUAUUUCUGUAAUAAUAUUAAAAAUACUUGUCAGUAUCACAUAGAAUUUUCAACAGCAGAUUCAAAUAAAAUGAAUCCUUGUGUGUGUGUAUAUAUAUAUAUAUAAAUGUAGAAGGAUAACAUCUAUAAUAGGUGAUUACUAUGUUGACUGUAUUUACAGGGAUGGAGAAAACUCAAAAGAGCCAUUAGUAUUUUUAAUGGAGAAACUCUUAAUCCAAUCAAUAAGGAAAGCAACUGUUAUGGAAAGAAUGAGAUGUCCAAGUGUUUGAAACAAUGCUCUGAACACACUUCAUACUUCUGAGGAAGAGCUUUGAACAAAGGAGUAAACAAGUAGAAUGCUGAGAAAAAUAGGGAGACGACAGUGGCACAUGACACCUAGUUUUUUUUUUUUUUUUUCUCCAUGGUUCUUUUGGUAUCUCUCCUUCCUUUCCCUGUCAGCCACAGUUCUUUAUAUUAAAUUCUUUUGAUGGCGAGAAUCCUGGAGUAGGAGUGAGAACUGGACUGUAGAUGCACCUCUCCCACUAACCACCUGUUUGGGGCAAAUAGUCUGUCUCGUUGGGAGAUGAACUUUACAAGUUCAAUUACUAAAUCUGAAAUAUCUGGAUUAGAAUAUUUCUAGGUUUUUUUUCUGCUCUUGACAUUCUAUGAUAACUCCAUGACAAAUGUUCUUUUUCCAAAUAAUUAAAACUUAAAACAUUUCCGUUUAAACCUUCAAAGACAAAGACAACUUCUUCUUUCUGCAUUUGAGUCAUAAACAUCUAAACUAAUAAGUUAGAUGUUUUAGGGAGAAUCUAUUUGCCUACAAUAACCACCCCCCCUCCAAAAGCCAAGCCAGCAGAUACGUGGAAAUGGGAACCUGCAAUAUUCUACCUCCUUCCUUUUAAUCUCAGAAGAAUUUUUAUAACUAGAGUAAAGCCACAUUAUGACAAUGAGAAAAAGUUGGAUUACUUUUCUUUAUUUAGGCUAAAAUUUAGACUUAAAAAAAGAAUAUGCUAACGCAUAGUAUAUACAGUAUUGCUCCUUGAGGGUAACACUGGCACAUAAUUCUUCUUAGCAUCCCCAAAUCAAUUUGUUGGAGAUUAGCACAUAGUAGGCACUCAAUAGAUAUUAGUAUGUGUUCCUUGUUCAAUACAAACAUGUUCAUCAGUAAAAGAAACCAUACUGCUAAUAAUUUUAUUUCUUGAUUUAGAAGCAAAAUAUAGGCGCCUAAUAUUAAUCUCUUCAAUUUUAGGUUCUAAUUCACAACAGUCCAAGUUUAGCAAGUCUAGUAGUUUUCAUAUAAAUACCUCAUACAGUUGCAAGCAGAUGGCAUCUAUGAACCCAACUUGCAUACUUGGGAUUUUGUUUUUCUUCUCCCUGUUCAUUAGAUCCUGAAAAUACAAAUACAGACCAGACACACAGAUGUGCAUUUAUUUAUUUAGUUAGUUAUUACUUUAUUAUUUUUUGAGAUGGAGUCUCACUCUGUUGUCCAGGCUGGAGUGCAGUGGCACCAUCUCAGCUCACUGCAACCUCCACCUCCCAAGUUUAAGCUAUUCUCCUGCCUCAGCCUCCCUAGUCAGGUGUGCAGUACCACGCCUGGCUGAUUUUUUAUUUUUAUUAGCGACAGGGUUUCACCAUGUUGGCCAGGCUGGUCUAGAACUCCUGACCUCAAGGGAUCUGACUGCCUUGGCCUCCCAAAGUGCUGGCAUCACAGGCAUGAGCCAUUGUGUGCAUUUAUUUAAAGAACACAAAGCUGGCUCUAGAAAGGUGAAUCAGUGGGUUAGCCUAGGAAGGUCAGACAGCAACUAAUACAAAAAGAAAAAAAGAGGAAAACUCUUAUGUUUUAUUUCAAGGAAACUCAUUCCAAAAAACAGAAGUGGGCUGAGAGGAAUCUUUACUUGUAUCUGAGAUCCAUACUCUAUGUAAAAAGGCAGUAUGUAUCAAAGACCUUUAAAUUCUGUUUGCCCUUCAACACGACAACUUUGGGAAUUUAUGCUAACAAGAUAAUGAAGAAUGAGGUUUGGCGGUUUAUCUAUUCCCUUGGUGUAAUGUUUGCAGUGUUCACUAUUACAAACAGCACUGUGAUAAACAUCUAUGAUAGAUGAAACACUGCUCUGAACACACUUCUGAGGAGAACUUUGAACAAAGGAGUAAACAAGUAGAAUGCUGAGAAAACUGGGGAGACUGUGGUGGUGGCAUGACAUCUGGUCAUCUUUCCUCCAUGUUUCUUUUGGUAUCUCUCCUUCCUUUCUCUGUCAGCCACAGCUUCUCUAUUAAAUUCUUUUGAUGGCGAGAACCAAGGAGUAGGAGUGAAACAUCUAUGAUGGAUGUUUAUCACAGUGCUGUUUGUAAUAGUGAACACUGCAAAUAUUACACCAAGGGACGUAGGUAAAUUAUGGUUACAUCGAUUUCAUGUAAUCAUGAUAAUACAUAAGAAUAUUUGUUAAAAUGAAAAGUGGUUUCUAAUACUUAAGCGGAAAAAAACAAAUUACAAAGAACACUGAUACAAUAUGAUGAACCCAAGAGUCUUUAUUAUGCCUUUUAUUGGUUUUGCUUUCUGUAAUGAACAUGUAUAAUUCUUCCAAUGAGAAAAAAGUUUUAAAAAAUAAAAUGAGAAAUUGUGGUCCUAAGGAAAGAUCCCAUAGAGCCAUAAAAAGGAGUCUACAAUUAAAAAAAAAACAAUUUGAAUAAUUCCUACCAACAAGGUUUCAUACUUACAGUGGGUUCUAUGUUGAGUUCUUUUCUCUCUCUGUCUCCUUGAUCAAAAAAUUCAGUUGCUACAAGUUCUGCUAUCUGAAAUAAAUAACAGACUCAGUUUUGACAAUGAAAAGCAUAUCAUUCUUUAAAACAGAGACCGUGAAUGAAGGCCCUGUUAGGAGCUGUAUAUCUCCAUUUUAUAGCAAAUAAGCAGCAGCUUGAUACCCGAAGACAAGUAGUCCAUGUCCAAAGCGUGCUCUCUUAACUAUUACAUUAUACUCUUUUUCACUUAGGUACAUCUCUCUGUCUUUGGUAGCUUCCAACAUUUUUCCCUUUUAAUUUUAUUUAAAAAUGUUUUCUUCAUUUAUUUUCUCCCCAUAAAACAGUAUGUACAAGGGUUUGAUUCAGGGGAGAGAAAGGAUAUAUGAAGACACAUUCUUCCCUCUUCUAUUCUCUUACCUGGUUAGAAAUAAAUAGGCAUAUAGUCCUGUUUAUUAUGGGCAGGAAGGUAGGUAAAGAUCACCUAAGUGCUUAUGGCGUGUUGGCUUUGGCACAUGGAGAAUGAGUUUUUGAUCUUGUUUUCUCGGCAUGUCUGUUUCAUGAGAUGAGCCUGUAGGAAGAGUUACUAGGCUCCCUGACUAAGCAGCCCGGAGUCUUGACCAACAGCAGGCUGUCAACAAUCCUAAAUAGCAUAUUUAUUACGGACUCAAAAUGAAAUCUUGAAAAACAAAAACACAAUAUAUAUGUCACUGCAUGGACAUCCAUCACUUUUUCUGAGCCUGUAUUGCCUCUGCAAAACAUUAUAGCAGUUACUUAGAGGGAAGGAUUUUUUUCUAGCCUCCUGGUAACAGGCUCCAUUCAGAACUUUCUCGACAUCUUAUAUCAAUACUUCCUACAUCUACAAGCCCCAGAAAUCUCUAUGUUCUACUUGUUAAUGUCUAUUUAGAGCUGAGGCACAGCGUAGAAGGCUAACCAUAAGAAAAGUAAUUUUGCUUCUUCUAAUUUUCAAGGUCAUUAAAGGGAUGACCUUAAGAAACAAGUAAGCCAGAAGUAUAAGUUAUAUUCCAAAUCCAAAAAUCUGAAACCUAAAAUGCUGGUUCAAUGAGCAUUUUCUUUAAGUGUCAUGUCAGUACUCAAAAUGCUUUGAAUUUUGGAACAUUUUGGGUUUUUGCAUUAAGUAUGCUCAGCCUUUCACACUGAAAUGAAAACUGUGCUAAUGUAGAUGCUCUCUUUCUUAAUAUAUCUUACAAAUAUUAUGUGCAAAUGCAUCUUCUAAAAAGAAAAGCCUUUGUAUGUCCAAUUAUCUGUUUUUAAUACUACUUAAAAAUUCCAAAAAAAAUUCCAUACUUACUUCAGAAGCUACCUUUAAGAGUAAAAACUUACUUAAAAAAAUUUUUUUUAUUUUAGAUUUAGGGGGUAUAUGUGCAUGUCUGGUAUAUAUGUAUAUUGUGUAUUGGUGGGGACUGGGCUUCUAGUAUACCCAUUACCCAAACAGUGAACAUUGUACCCAGUAGGUUGUUCUUCACCCCUUGUUCUUUUCCCACCUUUCCCCCUUUUGGAGUCCCCAGUGUCUAUUAUUUCCAUCUUUAUGUCCGUGUGUACCUACUGUUUGGCUCCCACUUAUGAGUGAGAAUGUGCAGUGUUUGAUUUUCUGUUUCUGAGUUAGUUCAUUAAGGAUAAUUGGCCUCCAGCUCCAAUCAUGUUGCUGCAAAGGACAUGACUUGAUUCUUUUUAUGCCUGCAUAGUAUUCCAUGGUGCAUAUGUACCACAUUUUCUUUAUCUAAUCAACUGUUGAUGGACAGUUAGGUUAGUUCCAUGACUUUGCUAUUAUAUAAUAAAUGGUG